rnacentral:lncRNA from 1 species
UUAUUGAGAACGAUAGAUCGAAAAGUGCAGCAAUCAUGCAAGCAUCGUUGCAGAGAUCGACAGUAUCAUUCCGGAGACCUGGUUCGUCGGGGCGUAUUUGGGAAGAUCCAAUCAAUGUUACAACAGAAACAAUCGAAGAAACCACAGCUUCAACAUCCUCCACAUCUUCUAAGACACCUCCUAGUGGAGAGAAUUCAAGAAUGAAAAUCAAUAUACCUGAAAUCAUGAGCAAGAAGGGUAAAUAGUUGGUUUUGACAAAAUGACAAAAUAUAAAAACAUGUUUGGUAAACCAAAAAUAUUAUUUAUGGUUUCAAAACUUAGAUUUGUUUUUUAUAGGAUUAGAAUCAUGUGAGAUAAUUCAUGAUGAGAUAUCUGAUUCUGGGAAUUUUGAAACACUAUCUGGAGAUUGAAGACACUCUAUUUAUUUUAUUAUUUCUUUCAUCACACCAAUGAGAUUGAAAUGAACGGUGAUGAUUCAUUAUAUCAUAAAAUCUCAUAUUGAAUAAUGUUAACUGAUGUUUUUUAAGAAGUGUGUGAAUUAUCUUUGUUUUUAUUACGAUUUAUGUUAAUUGUAGUCUUCGAACAUGCCUCUAUAUGGGGCCAGGUUCAGAGGGGUAAUAUAUAUUUUUUUGGUUUUCGAUAUCCCAAUUACAAAUAAAAUUAUACAACAAUUGGUAAAUUAGGUAAUAUAUAUUUUUUAACUGAUUAAUGGUGAUGGUGUAAAUGCUAAUAUAAUAUUGCUCCUUUCUAAUAACACUUACAUACAAUCAAUAUAAAAUAUAACAACUCACAAUCGUUAUAAGAUAACUCGAGAUUGCACAAGUAUGAUUUACAAUCACUUAGCUAUUUCUCAC